GAAGGAUACCAAACGGAGGUUAAAGGAAGGAUACCAAAGGGAGGUUAAAAGAAGGAUAUCAAAGGGAGGUUAAAGGGGGAUACAAAAGGGAGGUUAAAGGAAGGAUACCAAAGGGAGGUUAAAGGAAGGAUACCAAAGGGAGGUUAAAGAAAGGAUACCAAAGGGAGGUUAAAGGGGGGAUACAAAAGGGAGGUUAAAGGAAGAUACCAAAGGGAGGUUAAAGGGGGGAUACAAAAGGGAGGUUAAAGGAAGAUACCAAAGGGAGGUUAAAGGGGGGAUACAAAAGGGAGGUUAAAGGAAGGAUACCAAAGGGAGGUUAAAGGGGGGAUACAAAAGGGAGGUUAAAGGAAGGAUACCAAAGGGAGGUUAAAGGAAGGAUACCAAAGGGAGGUUAAAGGAAGGAUACCAAAGGGAGGUUAAAGGAAGAUACCAAAGGGAGGUUAAAGGAAGAUACCAAAGGGAGGUUAAAGGAAGAUACCAAAGGGAGGUUAAAGGGGGAUACAAAAGGGAGGUUAAAGGAAGAUACCAAAGGGAGGUUAAAGGGGGGAUACAAAAGGGAGGUUAAAGGAAGGAUACCAAAGGGAGGUUAAAGGAAGGAUACCAAAGGGAGGUUUAAAGGGGGAUACAAAAGGGAGGUUAAAGGAAGAUACCAAAGGGAGGUUAAAGGGGGGAUACAAAAGGGAGGUUAAAGGAAGAUACCAAAGGGAGGUUAAAGGAAGGAUACCAAAGGGAGGUUAAAGGAAGGAUACCAAAGGGAGGUUAAAGGGGGGAUACAAAAGGGAGGUUAAAGGAAGGAUACAAAAGGGAGGUUAAAGGAAGAUACCAAAGAGAGGUUAAAGGGGGGAUACAAAAGGGAGGUUAAAGGAAGGAUACAAAAGGGAGGUUAAAGGAAGAUACCAAAGGGAGGUUAAAAUUCUUAAGUCGAAGAAAGACCGACAAAAGCAUGACAAAAAAGAAAAUACAACGAAAAGACGAAAAGAUAAACAAAGUCCACAAAACAUCAAAUACAAAACACAAAAUCUAACAAUAGACAAUCGCUUGCAAAGUUCAUGACUUUGGACAGCAACACGGUCAUGUGUAAGGUUAAACUAGUUUAUAGAGAUCUCAACCCUCCUUUCAAUCCAUAUCAGUUAUCUAUAUAUAAGUACCUUACAGGAAAUUAAAAACAUUUAAGUUUUUAUGAGACUUUUGUCUCAACGAAAUAUUAAUUUUUUUUCGACCCUAGUUGUACCAAUUGAACAACCGUGACUACUGAGAGUAGCACUACCAACAAUAACUCAAUAAAAUUCCAUUUUAAAGCUCACCCAGUUUCAAAAUAAGUUUCCACUUUACCAUGGUCUUCGAAUGGAAAUUUGCUUUAAGUGCAAAAAUAACAGCACAAUAAAAUGCGUCUUAUAUAAGAACACCUUUACAAUAUUACACGGUCAUUUUGCCCAAUGUAUAUGCUUUAAGGUGGUACCUAACACUACAGGGAGAUAACUCUGUAAAAAUCAGCUAAACGUUUUAAUUACGUUGUAAUGUUAAGGAAAUAUUAAGCUUCUCAAUGAUCAAAAUUAGUGUUUGUCAAACUGCUAUAUAACCAACGAAAUUUUUCUGAUAAAGUGGUUGGUUCAAAUUUUUUGAAUUUUUUAUAUUUUUGUCAAAGGGUCAAAGUAAACAUUUUGUCAAAAUUUUAUGAAAAUUAAACGAGCCAAAUUAAUAUUAGUCAAGGUGUUGGGUACCACCUUAAAUGACGUUAACAUUAUUAAUUGUAUAACAAUUUUAUUUUUCAAAACAAAUAUUAAGAUAUCAACAGAACUUUUAA